CAGAGGUUACUGCUAKCRMGRKUCGACUAAGCCAUGCGAGUUGAAUGUUCUUCGUGAACAUGGCGGACUGCUCAGUAACACGUGGACAACCUACCCUUGGGUCCGGCAUAAUCCUGGGAAACUGGGAAUAAUUCCGGAUAGGUCACCGAUGCUGGAAUGCGCGGUGGCCGAAAGCUCCGGCGCCCGAGGAUGGGUCUGCGGCCUAUCAGGGUUGUAGUGGGUGUAACGUACCUACUAGCCUACGACGGGUACGGGUUGUGAGAGCAAGAGCCCGGAGAUGGAUUCUGAGACACGAAUCCAGGCCCUACGGGGUGCAGCAGGCGCGAAAACUUUACAAUGCGGGAAACCGUGAUAAGGGGAUCUCGAGUGCCAGCAUAUAAUGUUGGCUGUCCAGAUGCCUAAAAAGCAUCUGUUAGCAAGGGCCGGGCAAGACCGGUGCCAGCCGCCGCGGUAACACCGGCGGCCCGAGUGGUAACCGCUAUUAUUGGGUCUAAAGGGUCUGUAGCCGGCCAGGUAAGUCCCUUGGGAAAUCUGGCAGCUCAACUGUCAGGCUGCUAGGGGAUACUGUUUGGCUUGGGACCGGGAGAGGUGAGAGGUACCUUGGGGGUAGGGGUGAAAUCUUGUGAUCCUCGAGGGACCACCAGUGGCGAAGGCGUCUCACCAGAACGGGUCCGACGGUAAGGGACGAAAGCUAGGGGCACGAACCGGAUUAGAUACCCGGGUAGUCCUAGCCGUAAACGAUGCUCGCUAGGUGUCAGUCACGGUGCGACCGUGAUUGGUGCCGUAGGGAAGCCGUGAAGCGAGCCACCUGGGAAGUAUGGCCGCAAGGCUGAAACUUAAAGGAAUUGGCGGGGGAGCACUACMASGGGUGGAGCCUGCGGUUUAUUG
rnacentral:rRNA from 1 species